rnacentral:rRNA from 1 species
AGUAAUGUAUGGGGAUCUGCCCGAUAGAGGGGGAUAACUACUGGAAACGGUGGCUAAUACCGCAUAAUGUCUACGGACCAAAGCAGGGGCUCUUCGGACCUUGCACUAUCGGAUGAACCCAUAUGGGAUUAGCUAGUAGGUGGGGUAAAGGCUCACCUAGGCGACGGUCUCUAGCUGGUCUGAGAGGAUGAUCAGCCACACUGGGACUGAGACACGGCCCAG